rnacentral:rRNA from 1 species
UACGGAGGGUGCAAGCGUUAGUCGGAAUUACUGGGCGUAAAGGGUGCGUAGGCGGGAGUGCAAGUCAUAUGUGAAAUUCCGGGGCUUAACCUCGGAGCUGCAUAUGAAACUGCAUUUCUUGUCGGAUGGCGGAGAAAAUGGAAUUCCACGUGUAGCGGUGAAAUGCGUAGAUAUGUGGAAGAACACCUGUGGCGAAAGCGGUUUUCUAGCCUACCCGAGACGCUGAGGCACGAAAGUUAGGGGAGCAAACAGG